UACGUAGGGGGCUAGCGUUGUCCGGAAUCAUUGGGCGUAAAGCGCGCGUAGGCGGCCAGAUAAGUCCGGUGUGAAAGUCACAGGCUCAACCUGUGAAUGCCGCUGGAAACUGUCUGGCUAGAGUCCGGAAGGGGCGAGUGAAAUUCCUGGUGUAGCGGUGAAGUGCGCAGAUAUCAGGAGGAACACCAAUGGCGAAGGCAGCUCGCUGGGACGGUACUGACGCUGAGGCGCGAAAGCGUGGGGAGCGAACAGG
rnacentral:rRNA from 1 species